UGAGUCAGGUGAUUUUGCUUAUGAUAGACUGUGAGUUUCCCAGAGCAAAGUAGAAGACCAUGUGGAAAUGAGAAAGGAAUGGGAAAAUGUGUUAGAUGAGGGAUUGUAUGGAAGUGCAUCACAGGGAUCACAGUUAGAGGGACUUACAGUCAUAGGCUCCCUGUGAUUUCUGAAAGCAGCCGGGACAUCUUAACAGUGUCUUCAGAGGUGAUAAUCAGAUUUAAUUAGGGCCUCCUUCUAAAUCAGGUCUCAGCCUUGGCUGCACAUUAUAAUCACCUGGGGGAACUUUAAAAAUUUCCAGUGCUCAAACUUCACCCCAAACCAAUGAAAUUAAAAUCUCUAGGGGUGGGACCCAGAUGUCAGCAUUUUUAAAAGUUCUCCAGGUGUUUCCAAUGUGCAGCCAAGGCAGAGAGCCAGUUUUCUGGCUUUAGGCCAGAAGAAGUAGCAAGAAAUGUUGGCUCUGGAGCCUAGGCUCUGCACGCUAAGACAGAUCACCUUGGCACUGUCUGCACGUAAGGUGGGAGUCAGAUUUGCCUUCCUCCUGUGUCUGAGCAUCUAAUGAACUAAGGUUUAUGCGAGAAGCAAACCAAUUCACUCAAAACAGUUAGUAGAUGUGUCUGUGUAUAUUAGCCAGUAAAAAGUAAAAAAGAAAGUUUCUUCCCCAAGAGCAGAACAAUCACAGUUUGAGACCCUGUACUGCAGGACAGCAGGUCGUCGCUGAGAUAGCAAUUGAUGACAUAUACAUUGCUCUGAGGGCUCCUUAAGAACUUCUACCUUUUACGAAUGUCAGGUGAAAGGUUCACAGCACAACUUUUCAUGCUUAAUUAGCAGUUAGAAUCGCUUCAAGAAAUCAAACAGGGAGGAGCAGAUGGACUUGCAGCUCACCUUGCGGCAGUAAUUUGUUUGUCUCAGCCAUUAGUCUUGGUUGCUAACAAUCAUCUAAAGGUGGAGCCUUUGAGAUGUAGUGAAGGUUAGAUUAGGUCACGAAGGUGGGAUUCUUGUAAAAAGAGAGACGGGGAUCUCUCUUCCUUCAUCCAAGCACCAACGGAAGGAUACAUAAGGAUGUGAGGGGAAGACAAGCCUCUGCAAAUCAGGAAGAGGCCCUUACCAGACCCCUAACCUGUGAGCACCUUGAUUUUGGACUUUCCAGCCUCUGAAACUGUGAGAAAUAAACUCAUAGUUGUUUAAACUACCCAAUAUGUCAUAUUUUGUUACAGCAGCAUAAAUUAACUAGAACAGUAUAUGUAUAUUUGAUAGCUAUUUUUAUUGAGUACUUUCUAUGUGCUGAGGCAGAAAUCUAAAUGUUUUACAUGUAGUACCAUAUUUCAUUUUUACCACAAAUAGAUGGAAUAGGUGCUGUUAUAUCAUUCAAUGGUAAUGAGAAGGAAACUGAGGCAUAGAGGAUUAAUUGGCUUCUCAAAUUCACCAAGCCAGUUGAACUCAGAUAACUAUUCCAGAUCUUAAUAUCUUUGCCACCUGUCAUAUUUGGCUAAAAAAAAUGAUAGUUAUGUCAUUGAAAAGAAAAUGUAAAAGUAAUUAUUUAAAUUUCAAAAAUAAAGCUUCCUAUAUAAUUCCUUUUAAAUUUUGGCUAUGUUUGCAUUUGUUAAGGAACCAUUUUUAUUUUUAGGUUGUACACUCAUCUUUUACAAUAAAUAUUUCACAGUUUAUCUAAAUGUA